rnacentral:hammerhead_ribozyme from 1 species
AUCCAGCUGACGAGUCUCAAGUAGGAUGAAACGCUCGUCCUGGAU